CACUACAGGGUGACAGGCUGUUUGGGAAACAAUUUCUCUCCAGAGUCAGCAGGACUGGCCUGGGAGAGGAGGGCCAGCCAUGGUCUCCGCACACAAAGAAGUGACAGUCCUGAGCAGAGCCACUAGAAUGAGCAAGUGGAGAGCAAGUUAGAGUGAAGAGUGGAGGUGAGAGGAAGUGGGCUGCCUGCCAUCCUGAGAAAGAAAAGGGGAGCUGGCAGCCUAACCCAGCUCCCUCCAGAGAGCUCUCUGAUUAGAGCAAAAAAGCAAAACCUCACCAUCUCCUGCAAGCACUGGGAAAGCUCCCUUCAGAGUCAGGGCUGAAAAUUCACAGGACGCUUGCCGAGUGGGACUCCAGGUUCCUUUCAGUUGAGUCCAGUUUGCUCACUUCCCAGACUGCUGAGCUGACAGCCUUUUCUCGAGUAGAAUCACUCUCACCAGACAGAAGGACCAAAGCACAGCCCUGAGGAGAGAGGAACUUGUCUAAAUCUACAAGGCCAAGUAGAGGCAGCUGUCAUGCGUGGGACCAUGGUUUCCCGAUUCUCAGGGUGGAAAGCCAAUUGCCAAACUGUAAGCAGUUCUCUGGAGAGGACCACAUGGUGAUGAACAAAGCUUUGUGACAAUGCCAGCUGGAUUAACUAGGAAGCAGACCUCCAGGCCCCAACAGACCUUCAGAUGAGACUGCAAUCCUGGGUGGUAACGUGCCCACAGCCUCAAGAAGGACUGUAAGGAAGGAACGCCGGCCUGCACUGCUCCUGGACUUCCUGCUCCCAGCAGUAUGAAGUCAUAAAUCUUUGUGGUUUAUAGGUGCUAUGCUAAAUUUUGAGGUAAUGUGUCCCAUAGUAAUAGUUAAUUGCCAUUUUGGGUAUUAUGCUCUUGUAGAAGGUUACUUUUCUGUGUUCACUGCUGUCUCUCUAGUGCCUGGAAAUCUGCCUGGAUUCUGGUAGGUGCUCAGUAAGUCUGUGGAGAUUUACUGUAAUGGUUUGAAUGUAGAGUCCCAGUGUUUCAUCGUAUGUGGGAAAUCCUCGGGACAGAAAGGACUAUCCUUUUUUCUCUUCUUAUCUAACUGGUUGGGAAUUUCUUAAGUGGUAUACUCUACAGCUAACACCAUAACCCCAUGAGACUCAGCAGAGGGUAGGGACAAAGCAAACACAGAGACCAAAGAAGCCCGCAGACAAUGAGAAGACUGAACUAACUGGGUUGGGGACAAAACAAAAGAAAGCCAAAUGCCUAAGUGUCCUGGAUUGUAGCUUUUCAUGGCCACUGAUUUCAGUCCUGCCUACCCAACAGAACCAUGUUGUACGGGGCAGAGCUGGUUAUUGCAGUUGUGUGUAUACUUCAAAUCUCCCCCUCUGUUUGGCUUUGAACAGUUAGCCCUGGGAUUCUGUCAACAACAUCCCUUCUAAACCAGCUCUGCCAAUAGUGGGCGCUAGAAAAGACAUAAAAGAUGUGAAAAAGAGUCCUUGUUUCAUUCUAUUUUCUUUCUGCUCCUGUCACUGUUAGGCUGGCAGUGGCUUUUCACCUUAGGGAUCCGAUAGUAGCAGCUGGUUCUAGUUCUUGGUUUUGUUACAAUCCCAGAAUCAGCUGUAUCUGAAAUACAAAAGCUAUCCCGUGUGUGUCUCCUCCUCUAGAGCCUGGACCUCUACAGCCCUGUGCAGUUCCUCCUCUGAUCGCAAAACUAGCAAGAGCAGGUGGCACUUCCCUAGAAGAUUGGACCUCAAGUCUGCAGGGCCCUCUUCCCAGCUUAAGUUUACUGGUAGGGUAAACCAAGGCAUGACCAAGACCACCAGAGCAGGCAAGAAUGAAGCAACAAGUGAGGUUUUAUUUUCAGCCUGGGUGCAGGCUAGUCAAGGGCAACGAAGCCAUUGACUCUGGGGGCUUGGGUGAGGGGAAACUUUAUAGGGGAGUUUGGGUAGGGAAGGGGUAGUGCCAGGAGGAGUGGAAAACUCUGUCCUGAAGUGGAGGAAGUCUGGUGGUCUCCAGGGGUAUCUGGACCCACAGAUGUUGCUGCAUGGGGCAGGCUGCUUAUCUUGAACCCAGGCCUUAGCUUCCUGUUAUCCUUUGCCCCUUGCAGAAUGUGUAACUGCAUUGCCUGGGAAGUUUUUCUCUUCUGCCUGGGUGGGGGUCUGACAUUUAUAAGCCCUACUUUCUUUUUGUUUUGCUCUAGUGUUAGAGGUAGUAACUUUUUCCUGCAUCCUUCAAUAAUAGGUUAAAAAUUACUUUAAACUUGGUGUGAUG
ensembl:lncRNA